rnacentral:rRNA from 1 species
UACGAAGGGGCUAGCGUUGUUCGGAAUUACUGGGCGUAAAGCGCACGUAGGCGGAUAUUUAAGUCAGGGGUGAAAUCCCAGAGCUCAACUCUGGAACUGCCUUUGAUACUGGGUAUCUCGAGUAUGGAAGAGGUGAGUGGAACUCCGAGUGUAGAGGUGAAAUUCGUAGAUAUUCGGAGGAACACCAGUGGCGAAGGCGGCUCACUGGUCCAUUACUGACGCUGAGGUGACGAAAGCGUGGGGAGCAAACAGG